rnacentral:tmRNA from 1 species
GGGGGCGUAAGGGUCUCGACAGGGCCAAGAGGGGUUGAAGAGGCGAGCCGAGGUCUCCACCGGGGCUCGUAAAAAAGGUGGAACACAAACAAACGCCAACGCUCAGCUGGCACUCGCUGCGUAAGUAGCACGCAGCACACCUCUGGGCGGACCGCCUGCUAUGCCCAGAAGGUGUCAGAAAGCGGGCUGGUUUCCGGGAGUCCUCAGGUACCGGAAACGAGAUUGAACUGAGGGCGUGUACGGUUCAUCCGGCCUCAGGGAGGGACUGUACACAGAGGCAAAACUGAGGCUACGCUCGUAGGCUCUUCAAUCUUUCGGGUUCUGGACGUGGGUUCGACUCCCACCGCCUCCACCA